CCCUUAGAUGUUCUGGGCCGCACGCGCGCUACACUGAUGCAUUCAACGAGUUUUUCCUGGUCCGAGAGGAAUGGGUAACCUUUUGAAAGUGCAUCGUGCUAGGGAUAGACUAUUGCAAUUAUUGGUCUUCAACGAGGAAUUCCUAGUAGACGUAGUUCAUCAGACUGCAUCGAUUACGUCCCUGCCCUUUGUACACACCGCCCGUCGCUCCUACCGAUCGAAGAGUUAGGUGAAUUGUUUUGAUCGAUAAGAUUUGACUAUGGUCAACUCUCGUUGUGAAAUUCUGUGAAUCUGACUGUUUAGAGGAAGGAAAAGUCGUAACA
rnacentral:rRNA from 1 species